rnacentral:rRNA from 1 species
AUUGAACGCUGGCGGCAGGCUUAACACAUGCAAGUCGAGCGAGCGGCGGACGGGUGAGUAAUGUCUGGGAAACUGCCUGAUGGAGGGGGAUAACUACUGGAAACGGUAGCUAAUACCGCAUACCAUCAGAUGUGCCCAGAUGGGAUUAGCUAGUAGGUGGGGUAAUGGCUCGCCUAGGCGACGAUCCCUGGUUGGUCUGAGAGGAUGAACAGCCACACUGGAACUGAGACGCGGUCCAGACUCCUACGGUAGGCAGCAGUGGAGAAUAUUGCACUGUGGGCGCAAGCCUGAUGCAGCCAGGCCGCGUGUGUGAAGAAGGCCUUCGGGUUGUAAAGCACGUUCAGCGAGGAGGCGUUACUCGCAGAAUAAGCAUCGGCUAACUCCGUGCCAGCAGCCGCGGUAAUUC